ACCUAUUUGCAACAACAUAAAAUAGUCUUCACAUGACAUGUAAUUAAAUUGGCCGUAACAGUAAAGUUUCAUUUCUAGAGUGCUCUACAUCUUACCAGUUAUUACACUUUCAGUAAAAAGUCCUGUACACUGUCUGCCAUAUCUUUGUGUACUUGAAGGAAAAGUUUUGUCAGUCUAGGAAUACAUGAUGAAGAAUGUGGCAUUUCUAAAAUGUCUCGCAGAAUGUUUAUCAUUUAGUACGAGCAGGCUUUUAAAGCCCCAGCCUGUGGUCCCUUGCAAGUCAACCCUUUUCAGUGUGACACUGUCUUUUCACUCUCACUCCAUCAUAAACCUAUUAAAAUAUUUAAAAGAUUUUUAUAUUGCACACAAUCCCUCAGCUUUUCUUUUGUUGUUGAGAAAGCAUGUUACUCUAUAGAUGUCAUCAUUUUUAAGUAAGUCUGAUCUGUGUAAGAGAAGGGCCGACAUCACUAACUUCAUUAUGGUAAACGUAACAAAAACAGGUGCUGUGUUUUUCUUCUAGAUAAUCCUCACAAUGACCCUGGAAGAACUUUGUUCCCCUUUUACAGAUUUAGAAACUUGAUUACCAAAGGCUUUACGUAAUUAGGAUUUGUCUUAACUGCAGUUAGUCAAGAUCAAUACCUUUUUAUUUUGAAGGUUCAAGAUAAUGGUUACGAGUAAUGUUGAUAGUAAACUUACUAUGGUUGUAGAAAUUUCUGUUUCCUAAGGAAUAAUGGUUUAGACUUUCAUGCUAUGAACAGUCAUAGUGAUUUUAAAGAAGUCUAUGACUGGAGGUGUAUACUUUUGGGAAUUUUAAAUCCUAUAAAUGAUGUCACUAGAUUGUGUUUGCAAAAGGUACAGAAGCACUUUGGCCUACAGCUUGAGUUUCUUGUAGGAAAUUGUUGACUACUGUAACCUAGUAAUGGUAGGAAGGACUGGGUGCCCCUAGGGUGUUACCUUAAUAUGUCAGUGUAGUCCUUGAUUCUUAACAUUAAAACUUAACUUUCAUUCUUGCAGCCCAUUCUGCAUAAUCGAUUCCAGUGUUCUCUUCCUAAUCUUUCGUACCAACGAUUGCAUAGUCUGCUCAGUUAAUUUGAGAAAGACACAAAAAAAGAUUUGUGUCUUUGGCUAUGCAGUUUCAUUCAUUUCUCAUGACUUACCUUUCAGAAUCAAAAUCCUACCCAUCCUUCAGAACUUAAACCCACUUGUAUUGAGUGUAACCCAUACUGAUCUCUUUCCUUAUGAGUUCUUAACAAAGAAGUCAUGAGGAAACACAGCAAAGGACAGGAAGGACUUGCAUGGGUUUCAGUACUCACUCAUACUCACCCAGGUAACUGGCACGGAGUGCCAGGUGUUUCAGGUAUAUCUGUAAUGCCCCAGGUGUAGUCCCUAGGGAUUAUACCACAUUCCACAGGUUGAAACCAGUUCUUGUAUUCAGCUCAGCCACCAUAUGCGCACCUGUUUUUCCCUAGGCAUGAGUGCAGAAGUCACAGCCUAAUAUUCCCUCUCAGUUCUAAUUACUUGCAUACACAUCACAUGCCUAACAUUUGCAUAGUGAUAUAGCUGGUCUAAUCUUCCCACCAUGGUAGUACUCAGACUUUACUAGAGAUUACAGGAGAGACACGGCCAGAGUGUAUACCACAGAGUGCCCUCCCACAGGCUCUAGUGAUAAUAAGCUUCAGCUCAGUUCAGUCGCUCAGUCAUGUCUGACUCUGUGACCCCAUGAA
ensembl:lncRNA